rnacentral:lncRNA from 1 species
AAUUUCCUCUAUACCCUUCUAAAAGCAUCUAAUUUCAUAAAUGCCCCUUUAAAAAUUGAAAUAUCAUAUAUACCCCCUCAAAUUUAACAAACUUUCAAAAAUACCCCUGCCAUCAAAUCUCCAUCCAUAUUAAAAUUAAUAAUAUUUAUAUUCCAACUUUACCCCUCUUAAUUAUUCAUUGGUCAAUUAAUAAUUCUAUUUCAUAAAUACCCUCUUUUAUAUUUCAAAAUUAAUUAAAUUCUAUCUAGACUAAAAAUUUAGUAAAAUUCAAUUGAUUUUAGUUUAAAAAAUUAUUCAUUUUAAUUAAAUAAAUAUUUCUAUUUGGAAUAAAUUAUAGUUAAAUUAAAUUUCAUUUUGCUUUAAUGUCAGAAUGAGAAGAUAAUUUAUUUUAGUUAUAUCUACUUUUUUUACUACAUCGAUUGUAAAGUAAUAAAUUUUUUUUAUUUGACUACUUAAUAUAGAGAAAAUUCGUUACUAUGAAUACAUUACAACUAAGAGCAUUAGUAUAAAAUCCGACCUCAAAUAAAAAAAAUAGUUAUAUUAUGAAAGGACAAACUAAAUUCUUGUAAUCAACGGACUUUACAUAAACCAAUAAUUGUUUUAAAUAAUAAAUUGAAAAAAUUUUAGAUAAUGAAAAUUUUUCACAAAUUAAGAUAAUU